CCUACGGGAGGCAGCAGUAGGGAAUAUUGCUCAAUGGGCGAAACCCUGAAGCAGCAACGCCGCGUGGAGGAUGAAGGUUUUCGGAUUUUAAACUCCUUUUGUUCGAGAAGCUAAUGACGGUAUCUGACGCGUAAGCACCGGCUAACUCCUUGACAGCAGCCGCGGUAAUACGGCGGGUGCAGGCGUUACUCGGAAUCACUGGGCGUAAAGAGCGCGUAGGCGGGAUAGCAAGUCAGAUGUGAAAUCCUAUGGCUUAACCAUAGAACAGCAGUUGAAACUGUUAUUCUAGAGUAUGGGAGAGGUAUGUGGAAUUCUUGGUGUAGGGGUAAAAUCCGUAGAGAUCAAGAGGAAUACUGAUUGCGAAGGCGACCUGCUAGAACAUAACUGACGCUGAUGCGCGAAAGCGUGGGGAGCAAACAGGAUUAGAUACCCCUGUAGUC
rnacentral:rRNA from 1 species